AUUGAACGCUGGCGGCAGGCCUAACACAUGCAAGUCGAACGAGUGGCGGACGGGUGCGUAAUGUAUGGGAAACUGCCCGAUGGAGGGGGAUAACUACUGGAAACGGUAGCUAAUACCGCAUACCAUCGGGUGUGCCCAGAUGGGAUUAGCUAGUAGGUGGGGUAACGGGGCACCUAGGCGACGAUCCCUAGCUGGGCUGAGAGUAUGACCCGCCACACUGGGACGGAGACACGGUCCAGACUCCUACGGGAGGUAGAAGUGGGAAAUAUUGCACAAUGGGCGCAAGGCUGAUGCAGCCAUGCCGCGUGUAUGAAGAAGGCCUUCGGGUUGUAAAGUACUGUCAGCGAGGAGGCGUUACUCGCAGAAGAAGCACCGGCUAACUCCGUGCCAGCAGCCGCGGUAAUUC
rnacentral:rRNA from 1 species